AAUGAACGCUGGCAGCGUGCUUAACACAUGCAAGUCGAACGGUAACAGAGGAGCUUGCUCCUGCUGACGAGUGGCGCACGGGUGAGUAAUGCAUAGGUAACGUGCCCCUUAGUCUGGGAUAGCCACUGGAAACGGUGAUUAAUACUAGAUACGCCUUCUCUAUUAAUUAGAGUUGGGAAAGUUUUUCGCUAAGGGAUCGGCCUAUGUUGUAUCAGGUAGUUGGUGAGGUAAUGGCUCACCAAGCCUAUGACACAUAGCGGGUCUGAGAGGAUGAUCCGCCACACUGGUACUGAGACACGGACCAGACUCCUACGGGAGGCAGCAGUGGGGAAUAUUGCACAAUGGACGAAAGUCUGAUGCAGCAACGCCGCGUGGAGGAUGACACAUUUCGGUGCGUAAACUCCUUUUAUAUAAGAAGAUAAUGACGGUAUUAUAUGAAUAAGCACCGGCUAACUCCGUG
rnacentral:rRNA from 1 species